AGAACGAACGCUGGCGGCAUGCCUAACACAUGCAAGUCGAACGAGACCUUCGGGUCUAGUGGCGCACGGGUGCGUAACGCGUGGGAACCUGCCCUGAGGUUCGGAAUAACAGUUAGAAGUGACUGCUAAUACCGGAUAAUGUCUUCGGACCAAAGAUUUAUCGCCUUUGGAUGGGCCCGCGUUGGAUUAGCUAGUUGGUGGGGUAAAGGCCUACCAAGGCGACGAUCCAUAGCUGGUCUGAGAGGAUGAUCAGCCACACUGGGACUGAGACACGGCCCAGACUCCUACGGGAGGCAGCAGUGGGGAAUAUUGGACAAUGGGCGAAAGCCUGAUCCAGCAAUGCCGCGUGAGUGAUGAAGGCCUUAGGUUGUAAAGCUCUUUUACUGGGGAUGGAUAAUGACAGUACCCAGAGAAUAAGCUCCGGCUAACUCCGUGCCAGCAGCCGC
rnacentral:rRNA from 1 species